GACGAACGCUGGCGGCGUGCCUAAUACAUGCAAGUAGGACGCAGUUGUGAACGGGUGAGUAACGCGUAGGUAACUACCUAUUAGAGGGGAAUAACUAUUGGAAACGCUAGCUAAUACCGCAUACUAGUAGCUGGACCUGCGUUGUAUUAUCUAGUAGGUAGGGUAAUGGCCUACCUAGGCAACGAUACAUAGCCGAGCCGAGGGGGUGAUUGGCCAAAAUGGGACCGAGACAAGGCCCAGAAUCCUACGGGAGGGAGCAGUAGGGAAUCUUUGGCAAUGGGGGGAACCCUGAACGAGCAACGCCGCGUGAGUGAAGAAGGUUUUCGGAUCGUAAAGCUCUGUUGUUAAGGAAGCGGUACUUAAACAGAAAGGGACGGCUAACUACGUGCCAGCAGCCGCGGUAAUUC
rnacentral:rRNA from 1 species